rnacentral:rRNA from 1 species
CCCUUAGAUGUUCUGGGCCGCACGCGCGCUACACUGACGAAUGCAACGAGCUUAUAACCUUGGCCGAAAGGUCUGGGUAAUCUCCAAAUUUCGUCGUGAUGGGGAUAGAUUAUUGCAAUUAUUAAUCUUCAACGAGGAAUACCUAGUAAGCGCAAGUCAUCAGCUUGCGUUGAUUACGUCCCUGCCCUUUGUACACACCGCCCGUCGCACCUACCGAUUGAAUGGUCCGGUGAAGCCUCCGGAUUGGCGCGCACCUCGGUGCCGCCGAGAAGUUGGCUAAACCUUACCAUUUAGAGGAAGGUGAAGUCGUAACA